AUGAACGCUAGCGACAGGCCUAACACAUGCAAGUCAGGGCAGCGGAUGAAGCUUGCUUAAUGCCGGCGACCGGCGCACGGGUGCGUAACAGGUGUGCAAUCUGUCCAUAGUCGGGGAAUAGCCCAGCGAAAGUUGGAUUAAUGCUCCAUGUGAGCGAGUGCCGCAUGACACACGCUUGAAACGUAAGGACUAUGGGUGAGCACGCUUCUGAUUAGAUAGUUGGUGAGGUAACGGCUCACCAAGUCGACGAUCAGUAGGGGUUCUGAGAGGAAGGUCCCCCACAUUGGAACUGAGACACGGUCCAAGCUCCUACGGGAGGCAGCAGUGAGGAAUAUUGGUCAAUGGGCGAGAGCCUGAACCAGCCAAGUCGCCGUGAAGGAUGAAGGUUCUAUGGAUUGUAAACUUCUUUUGUCCGAGGGUAAAAAAGGCUACGUGUAGCUUCUUGCAAGUAUCGGACGAAUAAGCAUCGGCUAACUCCGUGCCAGCCGCGGC
rnacentral:rRNA from 1 species